rnacentral:tRNA from 1 species
GCGCUUUUAGCUCAAUGGAUAGAGCGUCGGACUUCGAAUCCGCAGGUUGCAGGUUCGAGUCCUGUAGGGCGCA